UGAGGGUGGAGUGGGCCAGGUGAAGUCUGAUCCAGGAUGAAGUAAAAUCUAGCCUCUGCCCUCAGGAGCUCAAGAUACAGGACAGAGUAAAGAGAAUGCCAGAGAGUUUACCCAUCAGAGAAAGAAUCCUGUUUGAGAGGCUGUGGACAAUGGAGCAUUGGAGGUGAACUUUGAAGGACUGAUGGUAUUUCAACAAUGUAGCUACAUUUAUCCUGACGAGUCGCUCAAGGCAAGAAGACCCAGAGACAGUAAGACUGAAACAAAAAGCAAAGGAGGUGCCUGCUUGCUAGAAGUGGCAGCUGUGCCUGGCUAAUUGAGUUGCAGUAAAGCCAGUUGUCCAGAAACGAGCUACAAAUGCCCCUGGUCCUAAAGAAGAGAAUUUUUAUAGCACUUCCUUUAUUCUUUGGCCACAACUGAGCCCCCUCCAACUUGGCUUCACAUCUCAGCAAAGACCAGCCCCUCCUGGCCAUUCACGCAUGUGCCAGCUGGGCUUAGAGCCUGCUUGCAUGGAUCUUGAUGAGCUUGUCUGGUUGGCCCCUAUUUGUGAAAGAGAAGAAGCAGACCUUGUCCAAGACCGGCACUGAAUAAAAUACCACAGUCAGAAGAGAGGAAAAAACAAAGAGAAGAUGAUGUGAAGAUACGGGAAACAUGGAAGAGGCUCCCAUCCCUUAUAGGGAACCGAUACUGAUGACACCUUGAUUUUGAAUUUCUAGCCUUGGAAUUGGGAGAGAAUAAAUUUUCAUUAUUUUAAGCCACCCAGUUUGUGGAACUUUUUAAUGGUAGCCUUAGGUAACUAAUACACCUAGUACCAGACUCUUUACC
ensembl:lincRNA